UAAGGAAUAUUGCUCAAUGGGGGAAAACCCUGAAGCAGCAACGCCGCGUGAAGGAUGAAGGGCUUUUGCUUGUAAACUUCUGUAGUGAGGGAAAAAACUUCCACUCUGUGGAAUAUGAUGGUACCUCAAAAGUAAGCCCCGGCUAACUACGUGCC
rnacentral:rRNA from 1 species